CAUUUCCAAAAUUUAUUCAUUUGGCUCUCUCUUCAAUCUGCCGCAUUGACCUCUUCUCUCUCUCUCUAACCCCUAACUCUAUCUGUGAAUCUCUCGAAGCUUCUCCUCUCUCUCGUCGGCUUUCUUGGGUUCCGGCAGCCGGCCUCCCUGCAUUCGUCUCUCACCGUGCCCCAAAAUCCCUAUGAUUUAAACCAAUUGAUUUCACCGUUCCUUAUUUCUUUUCUGAAAAUAGUGUCUCAGGGAUUAGGGUUUCUUUUAGCCUUGAUUUGUUUGAUUUCACCAAUUAAAUGUCAAGAUCCAACGCAGAUUUGUUCGAUUUUGAGUGGAUGGUGUCUUUGCAAACGUGGGUUGAAUUGACGGUGAUAGAAGAUAGAUGCAGAGAGGAGGCGGUUCGUCGGGCUUCAACCCAAGAAGGUAAACGAACGAUUCCUCCAUCUAUUCCCUGUUCUCUGACGAUUUUCGGUGAACAACUGAUGUCUGUUUCAGAUUCCAUUUUUGAUGCUUACCCUGAUUCGUUCUUCUUUUGUGAGGAAAAUUGGGAGCAUCAAAACAUGAGCGAUGCUGUUGAAUCUAUGAUGCGGAUCCUACUUCCUGCGUUCUUUUCUGAGGUUGAAGUUUAUGGGAAAGUGUUUGAUUUAGGAGAAUUUUUGGAAAAAUGAUGAAGGAACCGGCUGUCGAGUUUCACUCCCGAGCUCGUUGGGCCAAGCCCGCACUCGCGGAAACAUCCCAGCGCUCGCGGGUCGUCUCCCAGCGCCUGCUCUCCGUCCCCCGCGCUCGCACUAUGCCUUCAGCGCACGAGCUUCCUUCGCACUCAAACACUCCAGCGGGCGCUCCACUCACCCAGCGGCCGCUCAACACCCCAGCGCCCGAUCACUUUUCCAGCGCUCGCGGGCCAACUCAGCGACCGAGGCCUACCCAGCGCCCGCUAGGUGGCUCAUUGCUCGACCAGCGCUCGCAAGGCAUUUCUAGCGAUUGACUCCGGAAGCCCAGCGCUCGCGCACACUUCUAGCCGGCGCACCACAUUCCAGCGCUCGCGUACACUUCCAACCGGCACACCACAUUCCAGAGCUCGCGCAAUUCCCAGCUCCCGCUCCCUUUUCCACCAAACUCUCCCAGCUCCCGCAUGCAAAUUCCAAUGGCUACUGCCUUUGCGCAUCACCGCGCUUGCGAGCUAUUCCCAGAGCUCGCACACUCUACCCAGCGCCCGCUGGGUGUGCCUCACAUGCUGCGCCAUUGCCAUCCUUCAAUUAGAACAUGCCAUGUGUCCCAGUUUAGUAAUUAGAAGCAAAAAGCGUAUUCCACAUUUGAGAGUAUAAAAGGUUGAUUUCUCAUUUCCCUAGGGGACACUAUCUCCGCCACGUUCUGGCACCACAAACACUUAGCAGUUUCAUUUCAUUUCUUUCAGUUCUUUGUUAUAAGGUUCGCUUUCUUUAGUAUUUUCAUUUUCGAUUCCUUAAAUGUUGUAACGAUUGGAGAGUUUGGUUUCUAUUCCAUUGACGCUAUUCUGGUAUUUCA